rnacentral:rRNA from 1 species
UACGAAGGGGGCUAGCGUUGCUCGGAAUCACUGGGCGUAAAGCGCACGUAGGCGGCUUUCUAAGUCAGGGGUGAAAUCCUGGAGCUCAACUCCAGAACUGCCUUUGAUACUGGAGAGCUCGAGUCCGGAAGAGGUGAGUGGAACUCCGAGUGUAGAGGUGAAAUUCGUAGAUAUUCGGAAGAACACCAGUGGCGAAGGCGGCUAACUGGUCCAGAUCUGACGCUGAGGUGCGAAAGCGUGGGGAGCAAACAGG